CCAGAUUGCAUUUUUUUUUCUUUGACACUGAUGAUGCUGUAACUCUGCCCCCAGGACAUUGCUUUCUUCACCCAGGGGUCAAUGCCAUCCUAGCGGAUGCUGAGUCCUUUCCUGGCUGGGAGGUCGGGAUCCACAGCGGCAUCCCAUUGAAGGACACUGAAACAACUGACCUUCGCCUGCACAGCAAACAGAUAGUAAACUAGCCUUCUACUAGGGAUAUCACUGCGAAAAUGCUGACCCUGAGGAGCAACAGGGAAAGAAAAAACGCCUUCCUCUACUUUUCAAGUUUUAUUGCCUUAAAUGUGAAGAGUAACAAAGUUUGACCACUCCAAAAUAUGCCAGUUUGGCACAUGGAUUAUUUCAGACUGAAGGCAAUUAAGAAUGAGCAGACACAAAAAUGCUCUCUGCUCUCCUCCUAUUUGCCUAAAAGCAAGACAUAAAUUUACCAAAGUGUCUCCUUCCCCCUCUGUACCAGAAAGGACAAAAGCUAAUCACCAGAGACAAUUUUAGUCCCUUAUCCAGCCUGGAGGCACAGGAGAA